AGACAUCUGUUCCUCUGACAUGAUAUCUCAUGAUAUGUCAGAUUUCAGAAUGUCUUAGAUCAAGAGGACUGCUUCACCCAGAAUUGUUAGAUCAUAUUCGCACUGUCUGGUUUUUGCGGGUUCAAACAAAU